rnacentral:rRNA from 1 species
AUUGAACGCUGGCGGCAGGCCUAACACAUGCAAGUCGAACGGUAACAGGAAGAUGCUUGCUUCUUUGCUGACGAGUGGCGGAUGGGUGAGUAAUGUCUGGGAAACUGCCUGAUGGAGGGUGAUAACUACUGGAAACGGUAGCUAAUACCGCAUAAUGCCGCAAGACUAAAGAGGGGGACCUUCGGGCCUCUUGCCUUCGGAUGUGCCCAGAUGGGAUUAGCUGGUCGGUGGGGUAACGGCUCACCUAGGCGACGAUCCCUUGCUCGUGUGAGAGGAUGACCAGCCACACUGGAGGUGAGCCACGGACCAGACUCCUAAGGGAGGGCGCAGUGGGGAAUGGUGGACAAUGGGGGGAAGCCUGAUGCAGCGGUGCCACGUGGAUGAAGAAGGCCUUCGGGUUGGAAAGUACUUUUAGGGGGGAGGAAGGGAUUAAGGUUGAGACCUUGGGUGAUUGACGGUACCCGCAGAAGAAGCACCGGCUAACUACGUG